GAUGAACGCUAGCGACAGGCCUAACACAUGCAAGUCGAGGGGCAGCGCGGAGCAAGCUUGCUUGUUCCGGCGGCGACCGGCGCACGGGUGCGUAACAGGUGUGCAAUCUGUCCAUAAUCGGGGAAUAGCCCAGCGAAAGUUGGAUUAAUGCUCCAUGUGAGCUUGAGAGGCAUCUCUCGGGUUUGAAACGUAAGGAUUAUGGGUGAGCACGCUUCUGAUUAGGUAGUUGGUGAGGUAACGGCUCACCAAGCCGACGAUCAGGUAGGGGUUCUGAGAGGAACGGUCCCCCACAUUGGAACUGAGACACGGUCCAA
rnacentral:rRNA from 1 species